GACGAACGCUGGCGGCGUGCUUAACACAUGCAAGUCGAACGAAGAGCGAUGGAAGCUUGCUUCUAUCAAUCUUAGUGGCGAACGGGUGAGUAACGCGUAAUCAACCUGUCCUUCAGAGGGGGACAACAGUUGGAAACGACUGCUAAUACCGCAUACGAUCUAAUCUCGGCAUCGAGGAUAGAUGAAAGGUGGCCUCUACAUGUAAGCUAUCACUGAAGGAGGGGAUUGCGUCUGAUUAGCUAGUUGGAGGGGUAACGGCCCACCAAGGCGAUGAUCAGUAGCCGGUCUGAGAGGAUGAACGGCCACAUUGGGACUGAGACACGGCCCAGACUCCUACGGGAGGCAGCAGUGGGGAAUCUUCCGCAAUGGACGAAAGUCUGACGGAGCAACGCCGCGUGAGUGAUGACGGCCUUCGGGUUGUAAAGCUCUGUUAAUCGGGACGAAAGGCCUUCUUGCGAAUAGGGAGAAGGAUUGACGGUACCGGAAGAGAAAGCCACGGCUAACUACGUG
rnacentral:rRNA from 1 species